rnacentral:tRNA from 2 species
AUGCUAGUAGUAUAUUUUGAGUGAAGUAUUCUGUCUUUCCAAGUCAGAGGGCCAUGUGUUUUGGCUAGCAUA